UGUUGGGCCUCACGCAACGAGGCCUUGUGAACCCCGUCAGGUCCGGAAGGAAGCAGCGGUAGCAAGAAUCCCCGGGUGCUGUGAGCUCCCCAGCAAUU
rnacentral:SRP_RNA from 1 species